UACGUAGGGAGCAAGCGUUGUCCGGAAUCAUUGGGCGUAAAGCGCGCGUAGGCGGCCCGGUAAGUCCGCUCUGAAAGUCCAGGGCUUAACCCUGGAAAGCGGGUGGAUACUGCCGGGCUAGAAUCCGGAAGAGGCGAGUGGAAUUCCUGGUGUAGCGGUGGAAUGCGCAGAUAUCAGGAGGAACACCAAUAGCGAAGGCAGCUCGCUGGGACGGUAUUGACGCUGAGGCGCGAAAGCCAGGGGAGCAAACGGG
rnacentral:rRNA from 1 species